rnacentral:pre_miRNA from 7 species
UACUAUAAUAUAUAAUGAAAGAACCUAGUGGGGAAACCCCCACUCAACUCCCGAUUCAGCGUGCACCCAAGAAUCACGAACAGAACA